AGGGGGUGGAGGGAGUGCUUAUGAUCCUGCAGGGAUGGUGAUGUCAGAACAGCAGUGUCACGGGGACACUCUAGUCACAGGAAGGGUAGGACAAGCCCUCUCUCUGGAAGCCCUGAGCAGGAGAUGCCCACCUCCUUCCUACCUGACCCCACCAGGGGCUCCAGGAUCCUCUGCUGGGUAGCUCUGUGUCUCCUCGGGGCAGGUCCCGUGGAUACUGGCGUCGUCCAGUCCCCGAGACACCUCAUAGCAGAAAAGGGGGGACAAGCCACUCUGCAAUGCCACCCGGCCUCUGGACACAGAAGCGUGUACUGGUACCAGCAGACACGGGGCCAGGGACCCAAGUUCCUCUUUGAGUUAUACAAAGGAGAACAGCAAGAGAAAGGUGACAUCCAGGGCCGGUUCUCAGCCCAACAGUUCUCUAAUGACAGUUCGGAGCUGAACGUGAGAGCCUUGGAGCAGGGAGACUCGGCUGUGUUCCUCUGUGCCAGCAGCCCAGCACAGCCCUGCAGAGCCACCUCACACCUGCACCCAAACCUCCUUUCUCUGCUGGGGACGUGA